UGGGAGUCGAACAUCCCGCAAGGGGUGUGGCGGACGGCUGAGUAACACGUGGUCAACCUAACCUAAGGAGGGGGAUAACCCCGGGAAACUGGGGAUAAUCCCCCAUAGUUGAGGAGUCCUGGAACGGUUCCUCGACGAAAGUCCGCAAGGGCACCUUAGGAUGGGACUGCGGCCCAUCAGGUUGUUGGGGGGUUAAAGGCCCUCCAAGCCGAUAACGGGUAGGGGCCCUGGGAGGGGGAGCCCCCAGAUGGGCACUGAGACAAUGGCCCAGGUCCUACGGGGCGCACCAGGCGCGCAACGUCUUCAAUGCACGCAAGUGUGAAAGCGCUACCCCGAGUGCCUCUUUGAGGCUUUUCUACGCUCUAAAAAGGCGUAGGAAUAAGCGGAGGGCAAGACUGGUGUCAGCCGCCGCGGUAAUACCAGCUCCGCGAGUGAUCGGGACUCUUAUUGGGCCUAAAGCGCCCGUAGCCGGCUCUAUAAGUCACUGCUUAAAGACCCGGGCUCAACCCGGGGAAGGGUAGUGAUACUAUAGAGCUAGGGGGCGGGAGAGGUCGGGGGUACUCCUAGAGUAGGGGCGAAAUCCGUAGAUCCUGGGAGGACCACCAGUGGCGGAGGCGCCCGGCUAGAACGCGCCCGACGGUGAGGGGCGAAAGCUGGGGUAGCAAAAGGGAUUAGAUACCCCUGUAGUCCCAGCUGUAAACGAUGCGGGCUAGGUGUCACGUGAGCUUAGAGCCCACGUGGUGCCGCAGGGAAGCCUUUAAGCCCGCCGCCUGGGGAAUACGGCCGCAGG
rnacentral:rRNA from 1 species